AACCAAUGGCCUCCUGAACGUGCGUUGCACCCUUGGGAUUUCCUGAGAGUACGUCUGCUUCAGUGCUUAA
rnacentral:rRNA from 1 species